rnacentral:lncRNA from 1 species
CAAGGAUGGGCUGAAAUCAUGUAAGGACCUCGUGGAUAUGCAGAUAAGGAAAGAGCUUCAUCCUGUGGAUGAAGGUAAUAAUCGAAAAGUGUACCUUUCGCCUGCUUGCUACACCUUGACAAGAGCGGAAAAGUGUACCUUUCGCCUGCUUGCUACACCUUGACAAGAGCGGAGAAAAUGGCAUUGUGCAAAUCCCCACAUGGGGUGAGAGUGCCUACUGGCUUCUCCUCAAACAUUAAGCGACUAGUGUCAAUGAAGGAUCUGUCGCUUUCAGGCUACAAUUCCCAU